AGAAUCAGCUAUACCUCCCUGAACAUACCACCCACUCUUGUCUGAUCUGGGAAGUUCAACAGGGCUGGAUGAGAGAAUAAGCAAUUGAGCCCAGCUGUGUGUA
rnacentral:rRNA from 1 species